rnacentral:lncRNA from 1 species
UCUCAUCUCCCUCGUAGUAUAUUUUAGUAUCGCAUCUCCUUCCAAUUAACUCUUUUUCUGUAAAUCUAAGAUUUCCCUAUUAGUAUAUAUGUCGAUAGUGUGUACUGUAUAGAUUAUACUGAUAAAUUAAUUGAUCGAAGGGUAAAUGUGCACAGCUUUCCAUUUAAAUGGCUGCCCCAAAAACGGGUAUUUGGGCCUUCGCCUGCUACUUAAACGGGUAUUACUCCGUUUAUACUUUGUACGUUUUCCUUUCUCAUUCUGAACGUAUGUUAGAUCUCCUAAUCUUGCUUAGCUUUCAAUUAUCCUACAUGAGUUUGUUAGAAAAAAUUACUACUACAAUAUUGAUACCAACAACAAUUAAAAGUAGGAGCAAAUUAUCACGAACACUGUCACGACCUUGAAAGUGAUUUUGGCCCGAGAAGGAUGUGAAUCAUUGUUGAUGAUCUUGAAAGGGAUUUUGGCCCGAUAAGGAUGUGAAUCAUUGUAGAUGGUCACUCCCAAGGUUCACUGUCUUUCAAAUACAUGCACUCGUGACUGAAAGUUAAAAUACAUAACGUUAGUGAAAGAGCUUUUUAUUUUCUUAUCUAUAUUUAGUUUACUAAAGAUGCUUCUUAAAUAGGAUCAUCAUUUACGUUUUCAUCCAUCAGAGGAACUUAAAAAAAAGGCAGCCCGGUGCACUAAAGCUAUCGCUAUGCGCGGUGUCCGGGGAAGGGCUCCACCACAAGGGUGUAU